rnacentral:misc_RNA from 1 species
GUCACUUUUUGAAGAAUAGGCAUGACCUUCUUGGGAAUCAAUUUCACACUGUUCUACAACAGCACAAUGGCUGCAGUAUUCAUGAAGUUCUCGAGAAAGUUCAUCGUUGGUAGCUUCAAGCCAAGCAAUCCUUUCCUUCAGCACCUGGACUUCAUCUGAUGGAGCUCCUCCCCCCCUAGCACAAAGUUCUGCCUGUAGGUAUUUUAGCUGUCGGCGCAUCUGUUGCACCUCAUUGGACAUUAAGUCUCUAUUAACUACAGGCUUAUUCUGAAUGUUUCGAGCACGAUUUGCAUAUUUGAGAGUGUUGAGAGUUUCCUCAGCAUUGAUGUCAGCAGGACUGAUGCAAGCGAUCAUAAAAGUCUUGCUGUUUCCACCUAGUGAAUCCUGCAAGAGUCGAGUCAGUUUACUGUCUCGGUAGGGAACAUGCACUCCUUCUUUUCGCUUUUUGUCAUCCCCAAGUGCACUUAUGACGUUACCAAGUGCCAGAAGCCCCCUAUUAAUGUGAAUACCUUCUUUCAAACGAAGACCAUCAGAACCAGUUCUUUUUGCUCGUUCAGAUCCAGCUAGAUCUACCAAAUGGAACUUAGCACAGAUAUACUCUUCACCCGUAUCCUCAUCUGGAGUGUCAUUAACAGGAGAAACUGAAUGCAGAUUGCACAUCUGUUCUAAUGUGAUCGUGAAAAUUGCAUGCGACCGACUGGACUGGUUGUUCAUAUUUGUACUUCCUGUUGCCCUACUUAAUGAUCCUUGCUCCAGGCAAGCAGCCAUUUCCUCUAAUGUACUAACAGGUACUUCAGUUGAUCCUGCUAGUGUAAUAACUCCAUUUGACGAUUCACGGAUUUGUAUUGAUGGCCUCCCAGGGAUAGCAACUUUCCCAUGUCCAUUAGCAGCAAUUGAUUUGCUCACAGAUACAGUAUCCAGCAAGUCUCUCACUUCUUCUUUUAGAAUCUCUAUGAAGGACACAUGCAACUGGAAUUCUGUUUGAUGCUUUAAUGUCUCAACCUUAUUGAAUAGAGCAUUCAUAACUUGUGGAAUCAAUCCAGUCUGGCUACCAUCUUUGAAGCUAGUACCCAUCGUAUACGUUUUCCCUGAUCCUGUCUGACCAUAUGCAAGUACAGUGGCAUUGUAUCCCUGGAACAACCCAUCAACAAGUGGAGCAACGCAUUCUUCAAACAUGCUGGAUGAUGGAGAACCUCCAUUUCCAUAGACACGGUCAAAUGUAAAAGAAUGUGUACCGAUUUGUACCUGUGGCUUCCCAGGCGUAACAGUGACACAUUCUUUGCAACCUUGAACUCGUUCAUGGCCGAUAAGCGGACGAAUAUGAACUGCAACCUUAACACUACAAUUCUCCGACGCCUCCAUGAUUACAAAAUAUGAAGAAAAAGAAAAAUAACAGAAAGAAACGGAGAAUUAAGUGAGGAUUAAUUUCUGAGUAUCCAAUCAAAUCAGAUUGGAUUAAGAACGAGAAAAUGAUGCUGCAACAAGAGAGAGAAAGCGAAGGUGGUUUAGAAAGAGAGAAAGAAGGUUGGUAGUAAAUGAAAUUGGGGGGGAAUCGGAGGGGUUUGAAAAGUGGAGGCACCAGAAGGUAGGCUAGAGGAGGUAACUGCAACCUUUAGCUUAGCUUCAAUCAAUCACACUUCACACUUCACACUAUCAUUUUCCUGGUGGUUCACUGCUCUUCCUCCUUCUCCUGCGAGCAGCGAGUGUGUGUUAAAGUAUGGUAUAGAACACUGACCAAACCAAAAAGCCAUUUCCGUUGAUGAUGCGG